rnacentral:lncRNA from 1 species
GUCGAACAAACACACGUCGGAAGCAGGCAGAAACACCGCGUUUCGCCUGCGGGGAGCCUCCAUUUCCAGAGACCGUUUCCUUACGGAAGGCCCUCGCGGCACACUCACAGGGCGCGCUUUAUCUGCAGGUCCCUGCUCCUCUCCCCCGCACGCACGGCCGGGAACAGCGAGCCGCUCUCCCCUGAAGGCUACUUUCCUCACGCAGGCCAGCCCCGCACUCACCACAGGAAACCCCGGCCGCCGAAACCCCUCUCGCUACGCCACCCGCACGGCUGCCUCGGCCGCGGGAGGAGCCCCGGCCCAAGCACGAACGGAGGAGCCCCCGGAGAAGCUCGGGCGGCAGCACGGCCCUGCGCCUCAGCGCGGCCUCCCCGCGCGGGCCGAGAAACCCCGCUUCCCCCGCCCGCGCCUGCAGCGACUCCCGCCGCCGCCAGGCCCUCAAGGCCNNNNNNNNNNCGCGGCGGCGGAUGGCGGCGGAUCCCCCGCGCCCGCGCCCAAACGCUCACCAUCUUGCCCGGCCGCCAGCACCAAAGAGACCGAGCUCCGCCCCACUUCCGCUAUGCUCGGGAGAGUGCUUCCGGGGGCGCCACCGCCGCUUCCGGCCCCGCCCCGGGCCGGGCCUGUCCUUGGCCGGGAGUCCCGCCGUUGGGCGGCCGCUUCUCGGCGGGCCCUGGGACAGACCGCUCCCCCCGGGGAAGUUACGUGAAGAGACAAAUUGAAGAAAUUUGUCUUUAUCUUUUCACCAGUUCAAAUCUUCAACACCAGUUUGACGUCAUCUCAAACAAGAUCUCAGAAAUCUGGAAGAUGCUGUGA